AGCCUCAGGUCUAUGACACAGCAAAGGGCGAUUCCGGAGCCGAAAUUGAAGCUACGCCAGGCUGUUGUGAAUUGAUCCACUGCCAACAGUCGCGACGUCUGGGACUGAGGGCGAGCUCAUCCCUACAGUCACACCCUGGAGGGAUCACUCAUCUUGUACCACUCACGACCCGUCUGGGAAUAGUCAACCCUGUUUGUGGCCUGCUGACCAAAACCACUGAAGACGGAUUGCCCGCUCUCCUGACACUCCGCACUGGAGUUAGUCAUCAAAAGAUUGCUCAGGGAAUCCAAAGUUUUACAGGUUGUCUCGUCCACACUUUGGGAAACCUUCAGGCAUUGAUCCCUGGUCCUAAAUACUGUCCCUCCCAAUGUCCUGAGUUAACACCAACUCACUGGCCCCUAUUUCUUAAACUGCAGGCAGGCAUCUACUUCUCUUCAGUUGAUACAGCCUUCCUUGAAGAAAGCUUAGACUGUAACUUUUUUAGGGCUGAGGAUACACUCUGGUUAUCUUAAUUGCAUUUAAGCUGUUUCACAAGCCUCCUAGGUGUACAGAGUACUUAAUGGGAUGGGAGAACAGGAGUGAGUGA
rnacentral:lncRNA from 1 species